AUGAACGCUGGCGGCGUGCCUCAUACCUGCAAGUCGAGCGCACGGACGAGAAGCUUGCUUCUCUGAUGUUAGCGGCGGACGGGUGAGUAACACGUGGAUAACCUACCUAUAAGACUGGGAUAACUUCGGGAAACCGGAGCUAAUACCGGAUAAUAUUUUGAACCGCAUGGUUCAAAAGUGAAAGACGGUCUUGCUGUCACUUAUAGAUGGAUCCGCGCUGCAUUAGCUAGUUGGUAAGGUAACGGCUUACCAAGGCAACGAUGCAUAGCCGACCUGAGAGGGUGAUCGGCCACACUGGAACUGAGACACGGUCCAGACUCCUACGGGAGGCAGCAGUAGGGAAUCUUCCGCAAUGGGCGAAAGCCUGACGGAGCAACGCCGCGUGAGUGAUGAAGGUCUUCGGAUCGUAAAACUCUGUUAUUAGGGAAGAACAUAUGUGUAAGUAACUGUGCACAUCUUGACGGUACCUAAUCAGAAAGCCACGGCUAACUACGUG
rnacentral:rRNA from 1 species